rnacentral:rRNA from 1 species
AGCUGGAAUCGCUAGUAAUCGCGGAUCAGAAUGCCGCGGUGAAUACGUUCCCGGGUCUUGUACACACCGCCCGUCACACCAUGGGAGUUGGAAAUGCCCGAAGUCAGUGACCUAACCGGAAGGAGGGAGCUGCCGAAGGCAGGUUCGAUGACUGGGGUGAAGUCGUAACAAGGUAAC